CCUACGGGAGGCUGCAGUGGGGAAUAUUGGACAAUGGGGGGAACCCUGAUCCAGCCAUGCCGCGUGUGUGAAGAAGGCCCUCGGGUUGUAAAGCACUUUCAGUGAGGAAGAACGCCUGGUGGUUUAUACCCAUCAGGAAAGACAUCACUCACAGAAGAAGCACCGGCUAACUCCGUGCCAGCAGCCGCGGUAAUACGGAGGGUGCGAGCGUUAAUCGGAAUUACUGGGCGUAAAGCGCGCGUAGGUGGCUUGAUAAGCCGGUUGUGAAAGCCCCGGGCUCAACCUGGGAACGGCAUCCGGAACUGUCAAGCUAGAGUGCAGGAGAGGAAGGUAGAAUUCCCGGUGUAGCGGUGAAAUGCGUAGAGAGCGGGAGGAAUACCAGUGGCGAAGGCGGCCUUCUGGACUGACACUGACACUGAGGUGCGAAAGCGUGGGUAGCAAACAGGAUUAGAUACCCGAGUAGUC
rnacentral:rRNA from 1 species